rnacentral:rRNA from 1 species
GACGAAGGGGGCUAGCGUUGUUCGGAAUUACUGGGCGUAAAGCGUGUGUAGGUGGUUGUCCAAGUUGGAUGUGAAAGCCUUGAGCUCAACUCAAGAAAUGCAUUCAGGACUGGGCGGCUAGAGGACCGGAGAGGAUAGUGGAAUUCCCAGUGUAGUGGUGAAAUACGUAGAGAUUGGGAAGAACACCAGUGGCGAAGGCGGCUAUCUGGACGGUUACUGACACUAAGACUCGAAAGCGUGGGGAGCAAACAGG